CUCCUGGUGGUCUAGUGGCUAAGACUCCAUGCUCCCAAAGCAGGGCACCCAGGUUCAAUCCCUGGUCAGGGGA
rnacentral:tRNA from 1 species